rnacentral:lncRNA from 1 species
AUAAAAAAAGCAAGUUUUUGGUGCUAUUUUGGAAAUACAAGGGAAAAAAUCCUGUGAUUCUGUUACUCAUAAUGUUUAAAAGUAUUUUGUUUCUGAAAUGUCCAGUCUCUGCAUAUGAAAUUUAAAAAAAAAUGGAGUCAUAUAUACACAAUUUUGUAGGCUGCUUUGGGAACGUUUCUUUUCCAAGUGCCUGCUUGGAUUUCUACAUGCCUUACUGGGCUCUUUGAAAAUUGGAUUCCUCAUUCCAGAGACAGACACAGAUCCACAAGGAAUGCAGCUGUGUCAUGGAUAUGCCAACAUGCAUUUUCCUAGAAAUGCGAGACACUUCUUCAAAAUGUUAACUUUGCCUACUGAUUUGUGAAGGUUUAGAUAUUAGUAAUUAAGGACUGUUAAAAAUAAACUUUAAUGCAUAUUUUAGGAGGGAUAGUUGAAGAAGGAAAGCGCCUAGAAGGCCCAUUAAGUAGUUAAGGACAGAGUUGGCUCAAAGCCAGAAUUAUGAAGGUAUGAGGAAGGCAGUUAGCUGGGUUGGAAAGAUUUCAUCUCUCCUUCUAUGCAAAGAACAGAAUUGUUACUUAGCUGAGUGAUCAUAUGUAGGAAUCACCAGAGUUGGUUGGCUCUCUCAGUGGGGUUUAAAGUACAGUGUAAAUAGGGUAAACUCUUCAUUGUGGCAUCUAUAAAGCCAUUUACAUUCAGACAGCAAGUGAAGCAAAGCAAAUAAACUCUACUCUGGCUGGGAAUAAUUCUGCCCUGAUGAGGAAUCAGCUGGCUGGAGGAAUUUUGGAAGGGGUGAGGCAUACACUUUCUUCUAUGUUCCUGAAACCACAACAUUGUUAGGACUCAUCUGUUCAUGAGACCAGACCAAUAGAAAAUGAGCACUUCGUGGAUAAAAAAUACAGAUGGAAACUUAGUGGCUUGCACCAAAACAUCAGAUCUUCCUGGGUCUUGAGAUAGCUAGUUUUCAGACUGCAACUACACCAUCAUCUCUCCUGGUUCUCAGACCUUCAGACUUAGACUGAAACUUACAUAAUCAGCUCUCCUGGUCUCCAGCUUGCUGACAGCAGACUUUAGGACUUGUUAGACUCCACAGUGAAAGAUCACUCUGACUGCUACAUGGAAAAUGUGCUGGGGAGAAACAAGACUGCAGGAAAUAAGAGCAGUGAACAAGCUCUUGCUGUAAUUCAAGUCAGGUGUAGAAGCUGGAGCUGGAGCAGCCAUUCUGAACUAUGUCGAAAAUCUACCUGGAAAUAAAAAGUUGACUCACCGAUUCACACCAUUUCCAUUUGUCUUGGUCUGGCUUUGGUGUCGGGGCAUUUCCAGUCUCAUAAAAUGACUUUGCGUAACACAUGGAAACUAAUGGUGUUCUACAAUUGCUGAAGCAAGUGUAACACUAAAGUAAACUCAAGGGAUCUUUUCUAUUUACGGGCCAAUGAGAUUUCUAACCUCCAGUCCUAGAAGAUGCCUUCAAGCCUGUGCCCUUUGUCAGCUUCAUGAAUUCACAAUAGUUUGUGAGUGUUUCAUUGUUGUUGUUGUUUUCUCUUAUUCUUUCUGUCCUUCUCCUGAGUGGCAUUUAUGGGCUUUUUGGGAACAGAUCUUUAUAGACAUAAGGCUAGAGUUAGGAUGUCUUGGGAAGAUUCACUAAAAAAUGUAAAACCACCAACACAGUGCCACCCUUUGUUUCACGUAUUUGAUCAAAUAAGCUAGUCUGUUUUCAAUGACCGUGCUGUAUUUUUAACAAAAAAACAACGACCAAAAAGUCAAUAUUCCUAUAGUGUUUAUCUGGCACUUACCAUAUUAUGAGGGCAAAGGCAGAUGGAUAGCGUUCUAAAUGAGUACUUCAGGAGGAUGAGAGGAGGGCUUGGAGGAAUGACAGUCCAUCACUGCAGAUGUGUACUAAACCCUGCCAUGUUUAACAGGCCUGUAGAUUAAAAUUUAACAUGCUGCGUCUCCCACAUCAGGUUAGGUGGAUGGUUGAGCCGGAGUGAUAUUAUCGGCUCUAUUAGAAGGCCUCUCAUGAACCGAGUGGUGGUUUUAAUUAAAUCCAGUAGGUUGAGAGAAGUGGUUUGGCAGUUUCAAUUGAUUUAUUGUGUUUAUGACAUCUGGGCCUGAUUUAUUGUAUUAUUAACACACAGAAUUGUUUUUGGACACUCACCCUACAUAUUUUCAUUCUGGUUUGGGGGACUCAUAGCCUAUAAGUAUGUAGCAUUUUCAUUCUACUAUGAUUUUAGUUUUCUGUUUGUCUCUUUUUGUUUUUCUUAUAUUGGUAGGGUGGUGAACUGUUGAAUUCGUUUUGUAGAGUCUCUGUGGGUUUGUGUGCCUGAACAGGUCUGCUUGAACAGUAGUACUGGGUUGGAGUUGAUUAUCAUUAUCUGACCUAAGUUCAUGGAGCGACAAAGUGAGAGAGAUUGACAGUUUUUUAAUGUAGUUUAUGAAUUGCCAAACUAUUUGCUCCAUGUUAUGGUUUUCUAAAUUUUUUAAGUUUGGGCCUUGGAUAUAAAUAUGAAUACCAUGUCAUAGAACGUUUGUUUCCAAUUAUCUGAAAGUGGUGAGCAUAUUCAGCUGGACGUUAUAGACAAGUGUUGCCCAGUCCAAAUUUUAUAGCAGUCAAGUACAUUUUAGAAAGUAUCCACUUCAAACUCCACAAAGCAUGUGUAAAAAGAGAGAAAAGGGAAGAAUUAAGCUACAAUUUCUGCCAUACAGGAAGGGCAGAGAAGUAAGCAGGUCCCAAUCAACCUACAUGUCUUGUUAAUCUAUGACUGAGUGGUUGCCCAUUCCAGUUAUAGAUGCUAUGAUAACUCAU